rnacentral:lncRNA from 1 species
CUUGGGUUCCUUUGUUACUAGCUCUUCCAUAUCAUCUUCAUCUCCAUCAUCUGCAAUCAUUUUGUAUUUUGCAUGGAGGUCAGAUUUGCAGUUGGCACUACUAUGCCAAAUAACCAUUUUGUCCAAAUAAAUAUUUCUACACCGCAUACUUAAUUAAACAAGUCAGAAUGGAAUUUCAAGGCCCAUAAUUCAGAAAAUGUAAAGUUUCUUUACAUUAUCUAGUGAACACAGAAAAAUGAGAAGUAUCUUCGCAAAUCAGAGCACUCUAUAACAUGCAAAAUUAAAAUCAGUAGAAACAAGGGAAAUGUUUACCAUCUUCAUCACCAAAGCCUUCAAAAUCUUCCAUAUCAUCCAUGUCACCCAUCUCGAAGAUGAGCAAUCAGGCAAUAUCACUACUCACAACACAAUUUUGCACCAGAAUAAAAUACUCUCGUGGACUGAAGAAAAAGUACAACUCAUAUCUAAAUGUCAAAGUUUGCAUUUUGUUUGAGAUUGUUAAUUUUACCAAGGAACUCUAGCAAGGUGAAUAGAACCGGCCAAUCAUACAUCAGCAGCGCUUUACCAAUUUAUUCACUAAUGAACACCUCAAAAACUGAGAGCAGUUCUUAUCCCAUUGUGGCAAUUGUGUUUGUUUGCUAAUGUUUGCAAUGUAGGUGUGCCAGAAGUUGCCGCUCUUACUUUGAAUCACCAUUCGUGUGAUUUGAUUUUACUUGGUGAAAUGAAGCACACGGACUGUAGCUGAUUCGCCGAACGCCACU